rnacentral:rRNA from 1 species
GUAGGGAAUAUUGCGCAAUGGGGGAAACCCUGACGCAGCGACGCCGCGUGAGUGAUGAAGGCCUUCGGGUCGUAAAGCUCUGUUGCAGGGGAAUAAAAAAAUGAAGGUACCCUGUGAGGAAGGAUCGGCUAACUUCGUGCCAGCAGCCGCGGUAAGACGAGGGAUCCUAGCGUUGCUCGGAAUCAUUGGGCGUAAAGAGGGCGUAGGUGGCUUGGUAAGUCAGGUGUGAAAGCCCAGGGCUCAACCCUGGAAGUGCAUUUGAUACUGCUGAGCUUGAGUGUCGGAGAGGUUACCGGAAUACCUGGUGUAGUGGUGAAAUACGUAGAUAUCAGGUGGAACACCGGAGGCGAAGGCGGGUAACUGGACGAACACUGACACUGAGGCCCGAAAGCGUGGGGAUCAAACAGGAUUAGAAACCCUGUAGUCC